CAGAUUUUAUAUAAAUCAAUAUAAUUUCAGUAGAGAAACUAUUGAGAUGUAAUGUUUUACUAAUUCAAACUUUAUGCAUAUUUCCAAAGAAAUUUGUUUUCUUAGACUUCGGUUUAUCACAUGUUUUUAUUUUUGUAGGAAUUCAGUCGGUGGAAGAAUGCACUUGGCUAUUGCUGUUGUAAUCACCCUAUUCCCGCUCCUGUCGUGGGUCUACGUGUACAUGAACAAGGAGAUGCGGUCCUCCUGGCCAACUCACUGCAAGACAGUCAUUUAAAUGAAUCCAACAGUGUUUAAAUUGGUACUUUCAACAUCUUAUACGCACUGGGGAAACAGGCCAGUUUCCCAGUUUAUUUAAAAAACAAAAACAAAAAACUGGAGUGGAUACCAGAGAUGAUUUAAAGUCUUGAGAAUGUAACAAGGCCGCCCACAAUGUGAUGGAAGAUUGACUAGGACAGAUAAGGACUGGGGGCUAAGUCUCCAGAGGUCUCUUCUGUGACAGCAGUGGACCAGGCAAUGAGCAGAAACUUGAGUUUGAAUCCAGCUUUAGCACUAUGCGCUAGGGGAAAACCCACGAAUCUCCUGGUAGAUAUUUCCUCACAUGUAAGGUAAGAUGUCAGAUCGCUUUAGUUACCACAACCAAACUAAUACAAAGGCGCUCUGAGAAGGUGAAG
rnacentral:lncRNA from 1 species